rnacentral:rRNA from 1 species
GGUUAAGCGACUAAGCGUACACGGUGGAUGCCCUGGCAGUCAGAGGCGAUGAAGGGCGUGCUAAUCUGCGAUAAGCGCCGGUAAGGUGAUAUGAACCGUUAUAACCGGCGAUACCCGAAUGGGGAAACCCAGUGUGACUCGUCACACUAUCAUUAACUGAAUCCAUAGGUUAAUGAGGCGAACCGGGGGAACUGAAACAUCUAAGUACCCCGAGGAAAAGAAAUCAACCGAGAUUCCCCCAGUAGCGGCGAGCGAACGGGGAGGAGCCCAGAGCCUGAAUCAGCAUGUGUGUUAGUGGAAGCGUCUGGAAAGACGCGCGAUACAGGGUGACAGCCCCGUACACAAAAGCGUAUGUGCUGUGAGCUCGAUGAGUAGGGCGGGACACGUGGUAUCCUGUCUGAAUAUGGGGGGACCAUCCUCCAAGGCUAAAUACUCCUGACUGACCGAUAGUGAACCAGUACCGUGAGGGAAAGGCGAAAAGAACCCCGGCGAGGGGAGUGAAAAAGAACCUGAAACCGUGUACGUACAAGCAGUGGGAGCACAGGUUUACCUGUGUGACUGCGUACCUUUUGUAUAAUGGGUCAGCGACUUAUAUUCUGUAGCAAGGUUAACCGAAUAGGGGAGCCGGAGGGAAACCGAGUCUUAAUUGGGCGUUAAGUUGCAGGGUAUAGACCCGAAACCCGGUGAUCUAGCCAUGGGCAGGUUGAAGGUUGGGUAACACUAACUGGAGGACCGAACCGACUAAUGUUGAAAAAUUAGCGGAUGACCUGUGGCUGGGGGUGAAAGGCCAAUCAAACCGGGAGAUAGCUGGUUCUCCCCGAAAGCUAUUUAGGUAGCGCCUCGUGAAUUCAUCUCCGGGGGUAGAGCACUGUUUCGGCUAGGGGGUCAUCCCGACUUACCAACCCGAUGCAAACUGCGAAUACCGGAGAAUGUUAUCACGGGAGACACACGGCGGGUGCUAACGUCCGUCGUGAAGAGGGAAACAACCCAGACCGCCAGCUAAGGUCCCAAAGUCAUGGUUAAGUGGGAAACGAUGUGGGAAGGCCCAGACAGCCAGGAUGUUGGCUUAGAAGCAGCCAUCAUUUAAAGAAAGCGUAAUAGCUCACUGGUCGAGUCGGCCUGCGCGGAAGAUGUAACGGGGCUAAACCAUGCACCGAAGCUGCGGCAGCGACACUCAGGUGUUGUUGGGUAGGGGAGCGUUCUGUAAGCCUGCGAAGGUGGCCUGUGAGGGUUGCUGGAGGUAUCAGAAGUGCGAAUGCUGACAUAAGUAACGAUAAAGCGGGUGAAAAGCCCGCUCGCCGG